GCUUGGGUGACAGGUCGCGGCGUUACGGUGUUAAGAGCAAUAACCUGAUAGGUAGCGGCGUGUGAUUACUCGUCGCACCCAUCUAGACGUUUGUCAGCUACCAUGGAUCCAUCGAGAAGCAUUCCCCAAGACACCUUUGAGCAGCCUGAGGAAUCAAAGCUGGGGAGGAAAAUCCGGGAGUCCCCUUUCAUGGUGGCAGGUCUGGGAGGUCUGGUGGGAAUUGUUGGCUACAAUUUGUACCAGUUGAAAAACAAGCCAAAGGAGGUGCCACUGUCUUUGUACCUCAUCC